UAUUUGCCAGACUCUGCGAGUUCCUCAGGAAGAUCCUCUCCUGCCGAGCAUUAUUCCGUGCCAUCUCAUCCUCCUAAUGUAUGUGUUAACAAGGGUCCGUAUUCAACCGUUCGCGGAUGAAGUACUCCAGCGCUGCUGAUAUCUUCUCCAUGAAUUCCGUCCCCGGCAUCUUGACAACAGGAUUCUCAAGCUCGUACGUAUCUCGGGGCAUCACCUCUUUCCCCUGAGCUCUGAAUAUCUCCGUCAAGAGAAUCGCUUCAGCCUCCUGGUGCAUAUAUGCAUUGUGAAUUUUAUGAUAAACAGUUACCUUGUCGAGGGAAUGAAAUGAAAUAGACUUGAGGGCUCA